UGGUCACAAUUGGUUCCUAUUACUCUCUUGCGUACCCAUGAAUUGCGCGCGGGGUUCUUCCUUCGGCGCGCUUUUUAGUCUCUAAUGGCAAUAGUCAGAUUGGAUUAUAUUGAGGAUAUGCAGAAAAUUUGAAUAUUACGUAAUAUCGAUCGUUGUUACUGUCGAGAGAACGAACGAACGAACGAACGAACGAACGAGAGAGAGAAAGACAAACGGACAAACAGACAGACAGACAGAACGAAGAAACGAAGUAAAUGUGUAUUGUAUGGAAAAUAGAGCGCGUUUAACAUGCGAGUAACGUCGCAAUUGGCACGUCUUGUCGAGACACCGAAUGCUCUUUCGAGGUUAGAAGUGCAUUGCACUGUUGCAUGCAUCAUGCAAUAGCGCACGAACGGAAUGACGAGUAAAACAAGAUGGUGUGCGUGAAGAAAUAAAAAAGAAAAAAAAAUAAGGAAAGAAAAAAAAAAAAAGAAAAAAAAAAGCACUUGGAUGACCUCGUUUGCUUGAAAAAAAGAAAAGAGAAGAAAAACAACACCAAACAUAAGAAUCUUCGAACAAUUUGCCUGUCGCAGUCAAUGACUAUAAUUUAAUGUCUGGUGUAUCGAUCGAAA